CAGCCGCCGCGGGAAUACAGAGGGUGCGAGCGUUAAUCGGAUUUACUGGGCGUAAAGCGUGCGUAGGCGGCUUUUUAAGUCGGAUGUGAAAUCCCUGAGCUUAACUUAGGAAUUGCAUUCGAUACUGGGAAGCUAGAGUAUGGGAGAGGAUGGUAGAAUUCCAGGUGUAGCGGUGAAAUGCGUAGAGAUCUGGAGGAAUACCGAUGGCGAAGGCAGCCAUCUGGCCUAAUACUGACGCUGAGGUACGAAAGCAUGGGGAGCAAACAGGAUUAGAUACCCCCAGUAGUCCCUGUCUCUUAUA
rnacentral:rRNA from 1 species